AGAGUUUGAUCAUGGCUCAGAAUGAACGCUGGCGGCAGGCCUAACACAUGCAAGUCGAGCGGGGACUUCGGUCCUAGCGGCGGACGGGUGAGUAACGCGUGGGAACAUACCCUUUGCUACGGAAUAGCCUCGGGAAACUGAGAGUAAUACCGUAUGUGCCCUUCGGGGGAAAGAUUUAUCGGCAAAGGAUUGGCCCGCGUUGGAUUAGGUAGUUGGUGGGGUAAUGGCCUACCAAGCCGACGAUCCAUAGCUGGUUUGAGAGGAUGAUCAGCCACACUGGGACUGAGACACGGCCCAGACUCUUACGGGAGGCAGCAGUGGGGAAUCUUAGACAAUGGGCGCAAGCCUGAUCUAGCCAUGCCGCGUGAUCGAUGAAGGCCUUAGGGUUGUAAAGAUCUUUCAGUGGGGAAGAUAAUGACGGUACCCACAGAAGAG
rnacentral:rRNA from 1 species